rnacentral:lncRNA from 1 species
CGACGCUCACACGUCCCGACCUCAGCGUGCACCGUGUGCAACGGACACACGCACGCUGCCUCCCGAAUGCUCACAUCUCCCCCGGGUGCCGCUGGCACCCCCACUGUACACCCGGAAGGCGCCGCUUCCAGGACUGGGGCUCCUGGGUGCCCUUCCCUCCGGGACCGUCCUGGCAGAGGUGCUGGCCGGCUUCUCACUGCCCACACCUGCGUCUGUCCCCGGCCCCCGGAGCAGGCCAGAGACCGGUAACCUAAGCCUCGCUCCCGCUCCAGCACGCACCGGAGGCCCUUGACAGUGACUCACAGGAAGUGGGUGCAAAUCCUCCAGCUCCUGCUCCUAGCAGGGGGGCAGCCCCAAGGUGCGGCUCACACCGCUCUCCAGGAGUCAGGCUCGUAGGGCACAGCCCUUGCAGUAGUGAUAACUUUCCUCUGCUGUGUCAAGUCAGAUUAAAAAAAAGAAACGAGUGCUUUGCUUACACAGCUGCUAGUGCCAGCAGUUUUCUCAGACUGAGGCUAUAGUUUGUAACGGCGAGUUUGUUAUAGCUGUCAAAGGACCAGUUCCGACCAGUCUGCACCCCAGCACUAAUGGGGACGCUACGCUCUAUGAACCGUGAAGGGAACAAGGGCCAAGCGGAUUUAUGAUGUGGCGGAUUCUUUGUUAAAUUACAAAUGGAUUCACCGGAGAGUCUUGUUGGAUUACCAGACUGAGAAAGAAUGUGAUCCUCCCAGCGGCUACAGGAACCACACGGUCUGGUCUGUCACCUUCCACUUGACCUCUGCCGCCUCGGCCCUUUGUUCCUUCUGCUCCAGAUACAGCUUUUCCUGUGCUCCUCGAUUCUGCCAGGUACGUUGUUGCCUCAGUACAUUUGCACUUGCUGUUCCCAGCUGAAUAGUCUGGCCUCCGAAGCCAGCAGGACUGGAGGCACAAGUCCUUCACCCCACUGGCACAGGCUUCCUAGCUUCCAUCACUGGCCUUCGGGCCUCCCCGCUGCAGACCCUUGAUGUGGACUUGCGUGAGACACUGCCAUGGGCUCUAGGCCUCUGGCUGGACGUGUGGAGGACACUGCUGUGGGAUCCAAGCCCCCAGCUGGAUUCUUCGGGUCUCUAGUGUGUGGACAGAUGUCUUGCACUCCUCUGCGUGUGACUUUUUGGGUGGCUGUUAUAAAAGAAUCCUAUAAAUCCUGUCCUGAAUUAAAUCUAUUGCCUCUUGAACCGUGACUACAACAAGUGCCCCACUCUUCGCUGAAAAACCAGUCCUCCUCCUCCUUUCCAUCCAUAGGUUUGGGGAGGGGGGUGGACCCCCCUCCCCCUCCACAGGGCGAGUUCUGGGCCUUAAAGUCCCUGUGCCGGCCCCAGGAAGUAGCUCAGGCACGCGAGAGGACUCAUCCGGACCAAAGAGAACUCACUGGAGGACUUCCGCUGGAUGUGUGGAAAAGAUGCUCCCUAUUUCCACCGAGCAGGCUGGGCCAGCUGACAGACCAGAGGCCACUGGGGUCCAUGUGAGGACGGCCUGCCUCACAUGAACCCACAGAGCAGGCCGCGUGAGGAGUUGAGAGAGGCAGAUUUCUAGAGACUCGGAUCCAGCUUGGAAAUGCUCGACUAUUUUACUGCGGAUAGCUCAGCUAUUUCUUGAAUAAAUGAAUCAAUAAAUGAGCCAAUAAGCUCUCCUUCCUUAAGUCUGCUUUCCGGUAAAGUAGUCAGAGUUGGAGUUCAGUCAGAGGGAACGUUGUGUUGGAUGUCCUUCCUCACCAUCUAGGUUAGAUAGACAGAUGAUAGACAUCAGGUCACAACUGCUCGGCUUUCACCGUCCUGGACUCUGCUCCCCUGCAAAACCGAGAGAUUUUUAAGAUAGAGCACACCCUGGGCCUCAGCAUGUCUUUAGUACUUAGCAUAGUGUUUGUUGAAUGAACAAAGGAACGAGUUGUUCUUUUUGCUACCACAUGACACAGUGGAAUGUGGCAGAAUCUACAGCGAACCCCGGUACACUUCCUCGUCCUCAGCACUGAAAUUAUGUCACAUGGCAAAGGUGUGCACAGGAGUAUCCUUCAUAAUCUCCAGGGAGAAAGUUUUGAGGAGCCCAAACCUAUCAUUCUGACAGUGUGGUGUUAAUGAGAUGAGAAUCCCUGCCUUUAGAAAAUUCGAGAGACCAUGUGAUACAGACAGGAA